CUGAGUGAGGGCCCUCGUGGUCCGACCUCCAACCCAUUGUUGUCCGACUCUGUUGCCUCGGGGGCGACCCGGCGCUUCGGCGCCAGGGGUCCCCGCUGGUCCACACAACUCUGCAUCUUUGCGUCUGAGAACAACUUUUAAAUAAGUCA
rnacentral:misc_RNA from 1 species